rnacentral:piRNA from 1 species
UGGAAGGACAGACUCUUCUGAAGUGGCUC